rnacentral:ncRNA from 1 species
GAAUGGUUGGGUGUAAAGCAUCUAUUGGUUGAUUUUCAAGUCCAUCAUCACAUCCCAAGGCUCAACCAUAGAUAGGCAGUAGAAACUACUGAGCUAGAGUAUGGUAGGGGUGGAGGAAAUUAGCGAUGGAGCUAUGAAAUGCAUUACUAUCAGAAAGAACACCAACAAUGAAAGCACUACGGUAGGCUGGCACUGACACUAAGUGACAAUAGGUAGGAGAGCAAAUGUGAUUAUAGGUCCUUAUAGUACUAGAUGUAAAUAAUGGAUACUGGUGUUAUGCAACUUGGCAUGUGCAGUGCUAUAGCUAACACGUUAAGUGUUUCACC